rnacentral:rRNA from 1 species
UACAUGCAGUCGAGCGGAAGAUGGGAGCUUGUCCCUGAUGUUAGCGGCGGACGGGUGAGUAACACGUGGGUAACCUGCCUGUAAGACUGGGAUAACUCCGGGAAACCGGGGCUAAUACCGGAUGGUUGUCUGAACCGCAUGGUUCAGACAUAAAAGGUGGCUUCGGCUACCACUUACAGAUGGACCCGCGGCGCAUUAGCUAGUUGGUGAGGUAACGGCUCACCAAGGCGACGAUGCGUAGCCGACCUGAGAGGGUGAUCGGCCACACUGGGACUGAGACACGGCCCAGACUCCUACGGGAGGCAGCAGUAGGGGAAUCUUCCGCAAUGGACGAAAGUCUGACGGAGCAACGCCCGCGUGAGUGAUGAAGGUUUUCGGAUCGUAAAGCUCUGUUGUUAGGGAAGAACAAGUGCCGUUCAAAUAGGGCGGCACCUUGACGGUACCUAACCAGAAAGCCACGGCUAACUACGUGCCAGCAGCCGGGUAAAUUA